GAGCUGUACCCUCAGCAUAUGGAGGUUCCCAGGCUAGGGGUCGAACUGGAGCUAUUGCCGCUGGCCUACACCACAGCCACAGCAACACCAGAUCCAAGGUGCCUCUUUGACCUAUACCACAACUCACAGCAACACGGGAUCCUUAACCCACUGAGUGAGGCCAGGGAUUGAACCUGUGUCCUCAUGGAUGCUAGUCAGAUUCAUUUCCACUGGGCCAUGACAGGGACUCCCCUUCCCAGCCCUUUCUGAGUCUCCACAGCUGGCUCUCCAAGGUGCUAGAUCAAUUCCUCAAGCUUUGCCCUUCUGACUUUAUCUGUCUAAAUCAUUUAACCCUCAGCAAAACCCUAUAAAUUAGAUACAAUCAUUACACCCAUCUUACAUACAGGGAUCUAAAAAAUAAGAAAUAGAGGUCAUACAACAAGGGAGCUAUUGUUAUUCCCAGUGGUAAUUUUCAAAGUCAUCAUACAUUUAAAAUUCAGAAGAGUUCCCUGGUUGCCUAGCAGUCAAAUGACCUAGUGUUGUCACUGCUGUAGUGAAGGUUUGAUCCCUAGUCUGGGAACUUCUGCAGUGGGCACACAAAAAAAUAAAUAAAUAAAUAAUAAUAAUAAUAAAGCAUAGAGGAGUUCCUGUCUGGCUCAGUGGUUAACGAAUCUGACUAGGUACCAUGAGGUUUCAGGUUUGAUCCCUGGCCUCGCUUAGCAGGUUAAGGAUCCAGUGUUGCUGUGAGCUGAGGUAUAGGUCGCAAAUGAGGCUUGGAUCCUGCGUUGCUGUGGCUCUGGCGUAGGCCGGCAGCUACAGCUCCGAUUAGACCCCUAGCCUGGGAACCUACAUAUGCUGCAGGUGUGACCCUAGAAAAGACCAAAAAAAAAUUGAAAAAUAAAAAUAAAGCAUAGAAAGCAACAUAGUAAAAACACAGGCACUGUGUUCCUGUUGUGGCUCAACAGGUUAAGAACCCGACAUGAUGUCAGAGAAGAUGCAGUUUAGAUCCCUGGCCUUACCCAGUGGUGAAGUUAAGUUUCUGGUGUUGCCGAGGCUGUGGCAAGGCCUCAGCUGCAGCUCCAAUUCUACCCCUAGCCUGGGAACUUCCAUAUGCCAGAGGUGCAUUCUUAAAAAGAAAAGAAAAAUAUACAAGCAAAAGAUUUGUAUGAUCUCACAAGUUUCCUAGUAGUCUAGUUUGGGAGUUUCAUCACUGAGGCCUGGGCUCUAUCCCUGAUCUGCGAACUGUGAUCCUCCACCAAGUCACUGCAUGCAUUAGCCAAAAAAAAAAAAAAAAAAAAAAAUUGUACAGUCUCUUCACAAAAGACAAAUGAAUUUCAAACAAGCACAUGAAAAGAUUCUCACAACUAGCCUUCAUGAAAAUGCAAACUAGCAUAACAAUCAGAUACCACUGCAAAUCAGCCAGAACAGCCAAAAUGAAAAAGACUGACUUUAUCAAGUGCUGGUGAAGAUGCAGAGGAACUGGAACAUCUGGCGGAUGUGCACUGUGUUGCAUGUCAAUGACACCCCAGUAAAGUUUAAAAAAACAAAUCCGGAGUUACUGUCUUAUAUCCUCAUUAAAAAAAGAUUUAGGGAGUUCCUGUUGUGGCUCAGUGGGUUACAAACCUGAGUGGUGUCCAUGAGGAUGCAGGUUCAAUCCCUGGCCUCUCUCAUGGGUUAAGGAUCCGGUGUUGCCAUGAGCUGCAAUGUAGGUUGCAGACAACUCAGAUCUGGAGUUGCUGUGGCUGAGGCGUAGGCCAGCAGCUGUAGCUCAUAUUCCACCCCUAGCCUGGGAACAUCCAAAUGCCUAAGGUGCAACCCUAAACACGCAAAAACAGAAACAAAAAAUAAAAACAAGCAAACAAAGAAAAACCCCAAAGAGACAAGGGGUUUAUGGAAUCAAAAUUCUGACAGAAAAGGAUUUUCAAUCCAGACUACUAUUUCCAGCCAAAAUAUUGAUCAAGUGUGAGGAGCAAGUAAAGCAUUUCAAAGCAUGGAAGGGCUCAAAAAUGUUAUUGCUCAUGCUCCUAUGUUCUCAGAAAGUUACUGCAGGAUGGGCUCUGCAAAAAUUGAUGGGUAAACAAAGAAAACAUAAGACCUGAGAUGGAGGGAAACAGGGAUCUCAACAUAGGAGAGAGAGGAAGAAAAUCCUGGGAGGGUGGCUGGAGGAAUUUCCUAGGAAAAAGAACCCAGAAGAAAAACAGAAUGCUAUCUAUAGAUUAUCUGGCAGAAUUUAUCUUUUGAAAAGUUGAAUUGAGAUAAACUGGCAGAACUUCUCAGAAAGACAAUGAAAGGGAAAAAAAAAGUAGUCAAUUAACUCCAAAUAGAGAGAUUAUGCCUCAUAAUAAUUAGACUUCUCAAUUGUACCCUUCAAAAGGAAAUGAAAUUACAUUUCCAUAAAAUCAAUUUAAAAAAAUGAGCCACCAAGACAUCAGGUAAAUGCAUGUCUCAUAUCCAGUUGAUGACUCAGUGGCACCACGUGAUGCCUGGGAGGCAUCUCAAACUCACUUGGCCCUAAACUGAACUUCUCAAAUGUAACUUCUGACCUUUCUCUUUUUCCAUGGCCUCCCCAUCUCAGACACCUGAAAUGCAGCCUACCAAGGUUUGGAAACUCCUAAUGGCCCAGAAUAAGAUUAGAUAAAUUUGUGCUGACUCCUCCCACAUUCUCCAACCCGGCCAAUGACAGCAGUCCACUCCCCAGGCCAGGAGAUUGGCUUGGUUAUAACAUGUGCUCCUAGUUGAGCCAAUGAAAUUCAGUACUGGGACUUCUGGUGAAAUCUUGUGGGUGGUUGGAUAUUUCUUUCCAAGUCACUACUGAGUAGGAAAAAGGGAUCUUAUAGUUCCUGGAUCUCCACCACCCAAUGGGGAGCUUGAUGAGAUGAAAACCCAGCUGAGCCAAGAGACAAUGUUAGAUUCCUGGU
ensembl:lncRNA